UUUAGGACCUGCCUCUGGGAAGCACCAUGUGGGUAACUCACUAAUGUUUUAUAAUGUUAGUGUACCUGUUCUCCUUUUCUAGCUGAGAAGAAACCUUCCUGAAGAACCUUGUUCACAUUCUUUUCCCACCUGGAAAACAUUAAAAGAGAAACAUAAUGAUAGCAUCCAUUAAGGAAUAACACUACUGUAUACACAAAAGGAUGUGCGAGAAGCUCAGAAGAAGGUGAAUUUUUUUGCUUGCAUAAAGCCAAGAGUUUAAUUGGAGUAUGCAACAAUAUGAAGAAAAUUCUCUUCAAAACAAGCUCUGGAGAAAUUUUCUGCCAUGGGACAAUAAACAGGAAUCAUCAUCUUUCAGCCUACCCUAAUAAUAAUAUCAGCACUCCUUGCUGGGAGAAUCAGCCUUUGGUGUGAAGAGUAGCAAACCCAUCCUUGCGACCUUGACUUUCUGGAGGCAGCUGCAAUGGGAUCCCUUCUUUCUUUCUUCCCUGCCAGACAAUACACUUUGCUACACUGUGCCGACAGCAGGCUUACAGGAGCUCAGAAAUCCUCCUCCA
rnacentral:lncRNA from 1 species